UCUCACCUGGCAGGUGUCGGUGCCUCCAGCCCAGACGCCGGCGCAGAGUGCUUUGUUGUUCAUGAGCCCCGCGUAGCCUUCAGAGCUGUUGCACAGGCUGGGAGGGAGGAUUCCCACAUGGGCUUCUUUUAGCACAGCCUAGGUGUGUUCCUGGACAUGUUUAGACAUGGACCUGACACAGACCCUGCCUGCUGCCAAUGGAUUGGAAUUUGAGUGGGUUAAAAGUUUGGAGACUUGGGUUUGAUGUAGAUUUUGCAAUUCUUCCUCAGAAGAAGCAUCAAUGAUAAUAUACCUGCCUUGUUCAAAA